rnacentral:rRNA from 1 species
UACGGGGGGGGGCUAGCGUUGUUCGGAAUUACUGGGCGUAAAGGGCGCGUAGGCGGUCUGCUAAGUUGGAUGUGAAAACUCUGGGCUUAACCCAGAGCCUGCAUUCAAUACUGACAGGCUAGAGUUCUGGAGGGGAUAGCGGAAUUCCUGGUGUAGCGGUGAAAUGCGUAGAUAUCAGGAGGAACACCGGUGGCGAAGGCGGCUUGCUGGGCCAGUUCUGACGCUGAGGAGCGAAAGCGUGGGGAGCGAACAGG